UACAAAGGUAUAAAUUUCUCAACUCACUUUGAUUUGAGUUGAGUCUUGGUUCACCAAUCUACUAGGCUUUGAAUGUCAUGGUUAAUGUUUUGUUUUAAGUGUAUACAAGCAUGAUUCCGCCUUUUAAUUGUUAAUUGCAUGUUAUAGAUGUUGCUUAAAUGAACAUGUUUUUCACAAAAUUUCCUUCACAUUCCCACCAUGCAAGUUCGGGUAGGGGUCCAAGAACAACCUCACAAUGAUAUGAUGUUGAUCAUUCUUGUUGCCUACCUUCACAACAUCAUGUAUGCAAAUAAAACUUCUCCUGAGUUUAAGCACAUACUUUGUACUCCCUCAUGAUAAGGUGAAGUCGGCGUAUGAGUCAUAAACAUUUGGAGCCUAUCACGGUGGAAGGCCACGAAAGAGUGUUCAAAGCACUCUCAUGCUUGUCAACUUAAUAAAGGUUUGGUUGAGGGUUUUUAGGUCUCAUCACAUAUAAGCAUGCAUUUUAAUCUUACUAAAACAAUUUGGCCCUAUUACAACUAUUGGUCCAUGUGAUUGAUUUAGUAGUAUAUGAUACUCCCACUAUGCUUGUAAAAUAUUUUUUAAAACAAGAGUAUAUGGUAAGAACAUCCAUGAACAUAACAAGAAUAAUGAAGAACAUCCAUGAAAACCCAUAAGAGCCCCAUCAACAUUUUUCACCCAAAGACACCCCAAAAACUCUCAAACUUAAGGGAAAUAACAUGUUACCAUACUAAGGUACUUAGGGGUUCCAAAAGUUACUUUAAAACACUUUUAACAAGACAAACAUGAACCCAAAAAUCUACCAUUUGGAUUUGGCCGAAUUUCCCCAUAAACAUGGAACCAAAUUUUAGAUCCAAAAUUCAUGCUCAUAUGAACUACAUCUACAACAUUUGAGAUGGAAAAUUUUCUAACAAAAUUUACAUUCAAAGAAGUAAGAAUAAAGCUUGUAACAUUUACAACAUUCAAAUCAUAAGCUAUGAAAAUACUAAACCCAAAAGGAUUCAUCAACUACUAGACCUAGAUUCUGAUACCACUUGAAGGAAAUAUUUGUGAAAACUAAUUCAUUUGAGAAAUAUCUAUGCAUGCAAUUAACAAUUAAAAGGCGGAAUCAUGCUUAUAUGCACUCAAAAACAAAACUUUACCCAUGAAAUUCAAGGCCUAGUAAUUUUGGUGAACCAAGACUCAACUAAAAAACAAAGUGAGUUGAGAAACUUUUAUACCUUUGAAGCACCUCUUUGCUUAGCAAAGGUUAAUCAACCAUAUGGGGGCCUUCUUCCUUUGUCACCUUGCUCCUUGGCUCCAUGGAUUUGGAUGGAGGAACUUUGCUUCUUGGCUCCAUGUCUUCUAGGAUAUGGAUGGAAGAAUUGGGUUCUCCAAAAGUCACCAAAGUUGGAGACCUCUAAGUUUCGACACCAAGGAUGGUUGAGGAAAAAGAUGAGUGACCAUGGAAAAAUUAGAUGCUAGUAAAUUUUCCCAUGGUGGCCGGUUGUUCUAGAGAGAAAAGAGAGAGAGUUGUUCUCUUUACUUCCCUUAGAAAACCCUAAUGAUGAAAUGGUUAUAAAGUCCUUUAUAUAGUCCCUUCAAUUAAGUGACUAAAAGAACCACAAACCCUUUCCUUCUCUAUAUGGCCGGCCUCCUUAAGGCUAUGGGUUGUUUGGGCCCUUUUGGGUCUUUAGUCAAUAAGUUGUCAUACAAUUUAUGUUAAUAGGCUUGACAUUCAAAUCCUAUUGGGCCUUGCGGCCCAAAACUAACCUGAGGUCUAUAACGAACUUAUUCUUUUAAUUAAUUAACAUACUAAUUAAUCCUAGCCAUAAAUAAUUAAACCAUUUAAUUAUCCUUACUCAUCUUCGUUAAAUCCUUCAAACAUUACCUUUCAUGGUGUGCGAUCCAUUAGGUUUCUUUUAGUAAGGCAAUGGGCAAUUAGAACUCUUCAAAUCGAUUGUAAAAUGAAACUUACUUUCAAUUCUCCCUUUAACGAUUAUACACCUUUAGGGCUUCCACAAACCAUGAGUGACACCUAGCAGUAUGUCAUAGCUACCCAAGCUAAUCAGAAGAGGUGGAGAACCUAUUCAAUUUGGGAUUACAAUGCAAUUUGGUCUUUCUCUAAUACGAUACUUUUCACCACAUUGUUUGGUUUGAUAGUUUAUUCAUAUCUACUAUUAAAUGUAAUUCUUUUACUUAUAUGAUUACCUUGAAUGUGAUUUAGAAUGACUUCCUAAAUCUCAUUCAUACUCUGGCCAGAGAUUCUUAAUCAUAUCAUAGAGUAUUCUCUCUCAAACAGUUUAAAGGUUAGAGAUCCCUUGUUGCACAUUCACUUGCCUCUGAAGGAUGAUUUUGUGAAAACAUGUUCAUAUAAGCAACAUCAAUAAGCAUGCAAUUAACAAUUAAAGGCGGAAUCAUG
rnacentral:lncRNA from 1 species